UACGGAGGGUGCGAACGUUAAUCGGAAUCACUGGGCGUAAAGCGCGCGCAGGCGGUCCUUUAAGUCUGAUGUGAAAGCCCACGGCUCAACCGUGGAGGGUCAUUGGAAACUGGGGGACUUGAGUGCAGAAGAGGAAAGCGGAAUUCCACGUGUAGCGGUGAAAUGCGUAGAGAUGUGGAGGAACACCAGUGGCGAAGGCGGCCCGAUGGGCAGUGGCUGACGCUGAGGCGCGACAGCGUGGGGAGCAAACAGG
rnacentral:rRNA from 1 species